GCCGGUGUAGCUCAGUUGGUAGAGCAACGCUCUUGUAAAGCGAAGGUCGGGGGUUCGAGUCCCUCCACCGGCA
rnacentral:tRNA from 1 species